GACUAUGAGGGAACUCCACAUCGUGAAGGCUGCCCCCUCCCCACCUACCAAGAACAGGCCUGGAGAGGAGACCUACCGCUUUCCAAAUAGAUGAGCAGCUGCCGUGGUGCUGGUUCCAACAGCCAAGCGAAAAUCAAGCCAAAAAUACUGCUUAUUGGAGGGACCAGGUCACCUCUGCAAAGUGCUGAGGGAGUCAUCAGACCAGGAUUCCAGCCCUGCUUCUGUUUCUACCUAGUUGUGCAGCUUUGCAUGGAUCUAAGUAACUCGGGCACAUUUCUGAGCCCGACAAAGUUAAAUCAAGGCCAAUGUGUAACACAUACCAGAAAGAAUAUAACCAAGACUCUACUUCAUACUCAGCUCCUCAGGCUUGUUCUCUGGGAAUAAGUCACUUGGCACCUUCUAAAUCAAAUGACCCUGAAGUUAGAAACAGGAGGAACCAACACAGACAGUGAAACUCGAUGCGUUAACUGAACCCCGGGUGUGACUGGACCAGGCUUCUUCAAGUCACAGCUUUUCAGCUCCAAAUCUUAUCAGGACUAAUCAGGUGGCCCCUGGUUUUAUGUAUCCAGCUUUGUCAACAGCAUGGAGCAGCAACAGGUAGCCAGUAUUUUACCAGCAUUUCUGACCCAUGGGCCAACUUGACAGAACUUGCUCAAUAUGAAGGCAGAAGCAUUCUCACCAUUAGGAGGAGACUUUACCUUUUCCAUGAUGUGCAAUCUAAUGGAGGCUCUGGACCAAUGUUCAGGUCCUUGUGAAGCCCAUUCGGCUUUUCCAAACCAUACAGUGGCAUCUCUGGAACACAGCUGCACAAAUUGUUAUAAAUCAGGAAUUGCAGGCAAAGAUGCCCUGAGGACCAGUCUGAAUUGACUGUAAACACUUCCCUACUCUUACUGUCUGGAAAAUCCUUAACAACAGCAUUUUAAUCUGAGAUGCUGCAGAAGUGAGCGGUGAUGACUUACAGUAAUGUCUGCCCGCGCCAGGAUUCAGCAAGCGCCCGGCCAGAGGGGGCCGCGGGCGGCGGCUGCGGGAGGCAGAGUUGCUGGGCUGCACAGAGCAGUUUUUAUAGCUCUGUUUGGCUUCCCAGUUCUCCAGCACAGACAGGCGAGGGGACGGAUGGUUUUAAGAUCCAUUUGUGUACUAUUUAAUCAAAUUGCCUGUCUUUCUAAGGGUUUAUGGAUCUCCAACUUUUUAAGCCUAAAUAGAAAAAAAAAAAAAACCCCAGAAAAAUAAAUGCAAUGAGAACAUAAGGA